GAUGAACGCUGGCGGCGUGCUUAACACAUGCAAGUCGAACGGGAAACCUUUUAAUGAAGCUUCGGCAGAUUUAGCUGGUUUCUAGUGGCGGACGGGUGAGUAACGCGUGGGUAACCUGCCUUAUACAGGGGGAUAACAGUCAGAAAUGACUGCUAAUACCGCAUAAGCGCACAGGACCGCAUGGUCCGGUGUGAAAAACUCCGGUGGUAUAAGAUGGACCCGCGUUGGAUUAGCUUGUUGGUGGGGUAACGGCUCACCAAGGCGACGAUCCAUAGCCGGCCUGAGAGGGUGAACGGCCACAUUGGGACUGAGACACGGCCCAGACUCCUACGGGAGGCAGCAGUGGGGAAUAUUGCACAAUGGGGGAAACCCUGAUGCAGCGACGCCGCGUGAAGGAAGAAGUAUCUCGGUAUGUAAACUUCUAUCAGCAGGGAAGAUAGUGACGGUACCUAACGAAGAAGCCCCGGCUAACUACGUG
rnacentral:rRNA from 1 species